rnacentral:rRNA from 1 species
UACGUAGGGCGCAAGCGUUGUCCGGAAUUAUUGGGCGUAAAGAGCUCGUAGGCGGCUUGUCACGUCGGGUGUGAAAGCCCGGGGCUUAACCCCGGGUCUGCAUUCGAUACGGGCUAGCUAGAGUGUGGUAGGGGAGAUCGGAAUUCCUGGUGUAGCGGUGAAAUGCGCAGAUAUCAGGAGGAACACCGAUGGCGAAGGCAGCUCGCUGGGACGGUACUGACGCUGAGGCGCGAAAGCGUGGGGAGCAAACAGG